rnacentral:rRNA from 1 species
AACGAACGCUGGCGGCAGGCUUAACACAUGCAAGUCGAACGCGUGUAGCAAUACACGAGUGGCGCACGGGUGAGUAACGCGUGGAUAUCUGCCUUUUGGUUCGGAAUAACUCCGGGAAACUGGAGCUAAUACCGGAUGGUUCCUUCGGGAUAAAGAUUUAUCGCCAAAAGAUGAGUCCGCGUACGAUUAGCUAGUUGGUGAGGUAAUGGCUCACCAAGGCGACGAUCGUUAGCUGGUCUGAGAGGACGAUCAGCCACACUGGGACUGAGACACGGCCCAGACUCCUACGGGAGGCAGCAGUGGGGAAUAUUGGACAAUGGGGGCAACCCUGAUCCAGCCAUGCCGCGUGAGUGAUGAAGGCCUUCGGGUUGUAAAGCUCUUUUGGCGGGGACGAUGAUGACGGUACCCGCAGAAUAAGCCCCGGCUAACUUCGUGCCAGCCGCCGCCGUAACAC